UAGAAAACGAAAAGCACGAGAAGGCAACCGAGUCGAGCGUUGCUCGAGCACCGGUGAUCGAUCGAUCCAUCAAGAUCGACAAACCGUUUACCGUGCUGAAAGAAAAGGCACGAGGUGAAGUGCCCCGUGCACAUAGCUAAACUUUCUCGGACAAAGUCAAGACACAGUCAAGGACCUAUUUUGACUAGCAGAUGAGCCAGACGUCUAUCGAAUUCAAUGAGAGACUUUGCGACCCAAAGUCCCCGAAAACAUCUGGCAAUAGAUAGUCCGAAACAUCGAUCAUUAUCAAUGGGCCGACGAGACUCGACCACACACCUAUGUAC